GUGUCAGCCGCCGCGGUAAUACGUAGGUGGCAAGCGUUGUCCGGAUUUACUGGGCGUAAAGAGCGCGCAGGCGGUCGAUUAAGUCGAGUGUGAAAGCCCCCGGCUCAACUGGGGAGGGUCACUUGAUACUGGUCGACUCGAAGGCAGGAGAGGGAAGUGGAAUUCCCGGUGUAGUGGUGAAAUGCGUAGAUAUCGGGAGGAACACCAGUGGCGAAGGCGACUUCCUGGCCUGUUCUUGACGCUGAGGCGCGAAAGCUAGGGGAGCAAACGGGAUUAGAAACCCCCGUAGUCC
rnacentral:rRNA from 1 species